AGAAAUUUUGUGAUAUUACUAGGAAUUGAACCAACAAAUUUGUUUUGAUUGGCUGAAAACCUCCGCAGCGUUGUGAUACUUGAAAGGGUUGCAGGGAUCAACCCUGUCAACUUAUUGGAAGAUAGAAUGAGGACUUGCAACUUGGUGAGGUUCCCAAUACUUGCAGGAAUUUGUCCACUAAGGCUAUUAAAACUAAGAUCAAUCCGGACCAAAUUCUGAUAGAUUCCAAUUUCAGUUGGUAUUGGACCUGAGAAGUUAUUCUUAGAAAGCACAAGACCCAAUAUUUUGAGUGCACUCAAAUCAUUUAACUGAGAAUUAAUACUCCCACUCAAAGAAUUGAAAGAAAAAUCCAAGGAUUCCAAUCCAACAAAUUUAUGAAAAGUAGGCAAAGAACCAACCAACUUGUUGUUGCUAAAGUCCAAGCUCUUUAACCCAUCAAUCCUUCCACAACUAUUGAAAAACUCAUCAGGGAUUGACACCAAAAAGUUGUUUGACAAGUUAAGAUACUGCAGAGAAUCAAUCUGGCAAAACAUAGGUAGAAAUUUAGAGGUAGAGAGACCAAACCCGGAUAAAGAAAGAGAGACUAUGGAGUUGUUGAGAGGGAUGUUGCAUGUAACUCCUUUCCAACGGCACGGGUUCGGCUCUUUUGUAGAAUUCCAAGGUGAACUUGGGAUGUCAAGCUGCUGAGAAAUAUUGAUCAUUAUGUUCGUCUGGUUUGAAGUUAGUUGACAGAAGACCAAAGGGUAUAAACAGAAGAAGAAAUUUAUGAGCAGAUAAAGGCUGUAAAUGGUGCAACUCCUCAUUGUAGAGAAGACUAUUCACCAAGCUCUCCUUGUCAGGAUUCAGAAGGGGAAGAAAGGAGCCAGAAGAGUAAGGAAAAGAGCAGAGAAGAGAAUAAAAGGGGAUGGGAUUAGAAUAACAUGACAGACAGACAGAGAUAUUGGUGGCUUGGUGAUGGGAUUUGCGUUUUUCAAAGUGGAAAUUCAUGGGAAAGAGGGAAAAGAAAAGAAAGAUGUUUGUUCUGGGCGUGUUGGGAGUGGAGUUGACUGCAAAUACAGCGCAAUAUGAAAUGGGGACGGACUGACUGACAACGGCCAUUGCAGUGUUGGUUUGGUGCGUGUGGGAGAGGGUUGCUGUCAUUUCUUUGUGACUUUCUGUUUGAUGACUUUGACUCUCACACUCACACAUUGGUCUUCGCAUGGAAGUUAAAUAAUAUGGGAAAGAACAACAAUUCAAAGUCUGUGUGUGGGGGUGGAGGGGAGGGGGAGCCAUUGGCGGAAGAAGAGCCCACUUUUGAAUGCUACAGCCUGCAAUUAGGAAAAACGCGUUUCAAAGACUUUUUGGUUUAGGAGUCCUGCUUACGGCCUAGACCUUGGUCAAUCUUGUACCUUUUGAGUAUUCUUUUUUUAUUUAAAAAAUUCUUAAACUAUUUAAAUAAAUUAAAUAAGUUUUUUUUCUUUUUUACGUUUUAUUAAAUUUUUAUAAUUUUAUUUUACACUAAACAAACCCUUACGAGAUACAUAAAACUACCCUUAGAAGGUAGUGAUGCAACAUAGCACUUGCAAGACAUAAAAAAUUUAUCAUAUGGCUUGUUCUGCGUAUAAGGUAAAUGAAGAAAGCGCAAAAAGAUGAUCGGGUUGCAAAUGAGAUCAAAUUACAGGUUUAUAAUUAAGCGUUUUAUGAUUAGUUCUCGAUUGAUUGUUAUUAAUUAAAAUAUCACUUGUCAUUUUAUACUCAUAUUGUAUUGACAUAAAAUAUGAAAAUAUCACAUGAUUAUAACUUCAUGCCACAUCAACAUGUCAUGAUUUUUAUAUAUUAUGACAUGUUAAUAUGUUACGUCAAUAUCAUAUGAUAUAAAAUAAUAAAUAAUAUUUUUACUAAUAAGAGUUACUUAUAAAGAUUUAUUUAGUUUAAAAUAAAAGAAUAAAAAUUUAAUUGAAUGUAAUAAAAAGAUAAAUAUUUAUUUAUAUUUUCUUAAAAAGUUCAAGAAUUUUUUUAAAUAUUAUAUCUUAAUUUUUCCAUUUACGAUUUAUGAUUUUUUGUUCACAUUAAAAUCAAAAGUUUUUUUUUUCUUAAUCACGAUCAAAGCAAAAAACAAUUAAACAUCUAAAACCAGAGGAAUAAAUUUCCAAUGAUGUACAAGUGCAUAUUACAGUUUGAUUUGGUGUGACUCUUAAGUAAUAAAUGUUUGCCAUUAAAAAAAAGUGCAUAUAACUUUCAUAGCUGGUGCGUUGCAUACGAAUCUCUUUCUACUUGUUUUUUUCUUUCUCAUUCUAUCUCUUUUUUUCUUUUCUUUUUCUCUUUUUUCAUACGGGCUCCACAUGGCUUGAGGAGAAGCCCCUGAGGUAAUAGAUUUGAGGAAUGAAUUGACCCAAGGUCUUCGAGUCAUCUAUAUUAUAUUUAAACGUAUUUGAAAAUUCUGGCCCCCCCAAAGUUAAGGUGUGGCUGCACUUUUGUUCUACAUUGAAAAAUACUAAAGAAGUCGGAAGAAGAAAGUCACUAUUGCUUAGAGGUGUUGAUACUUUGAUUAGAAUGAAUUCAGGAUGAGUUUAUGUUACAUUACCACGAAAAACCUGUAGUUGUCCAAGCUCAAUUUCAAUACAAAAGUAAGUAGAUGUAGGCUAUAUUGAUUUUUUUUUCCCUUAAUACUAGAAAAAGUUCAUAAUUAUUUUUUAAAAAAUAAAAUAAUUUUUUAUUUUUAUUUUUUAAAAAAAAUACAUAAUUUUAUUGUUAAAUAUCUAAAAUUAUAAAAAUUUUAAACUUUAUGAUUAUAAUGAAAAUAAAAUAAAAUAAAAGCUAAAUAAAAUCUUUAUAUAACAAGAGGCCUGGUUUUAAAGGAUAUCUAAGCCCAAACUUGAGAGGCUUCCAGUGAUUUAAAGCAUUACAAAAACCUCCAGCUGCUUGUCCACAGAAUGUCGCAACAAACAACCACUUAAAUGAAUCCUGUUUGAUGCAGCUUACCACUAUCUUCCUCUUAGAUUGAACAUGUCUUAAGCAACUCAAUACAACCUUCAAUGCAUAAUGAAAACAGUCCAACUCACGAUCAAGUCCUUAAUGUACAUAAAUUUUUGCCCCCAAUGUCCAAAUUCAGACCAACUUCGCUCAUUGUCCACUGUAACCGCAAAACUUUCAAUAAAACUGUCCAGUAAUCUGAGUAUUCAUAUAGAAGUAGAGUUACUUUUAUAGGUGGCCUCUUUCUCAUGUCAAAAGUCUUAUUUUUGAAUUUAAGAUAAAUCUCUAUCGUGUAGGAUUUUAACUCCAAUUUAGAGUCUAAGUGAAAUACAAUUGUAAAGACCGAUUUAAAUCCAAACAACCUAAGAAAUUUCUCCUUUCAUAGCAAUUAGAAUUUUCUUUUCACAUGUAAUAAAAAAUUCUUUAAACUGACCAAUUAGAAUAAAUCCCUCUCACAUGUUACUCUUUGUUUAGUUAGUACAUCUACCUCUGUAUUAGCCUCCCUAAGUGUAUGUGUAACCAUCCAAUUCGAAAUUGAGCUCCGUAAACAACCAAUUUGUACCAUAUGUUGCCUGAACGCCAAGGAACUUUCAAGGGAUUAUUUAUCCAGUUGACCACAUUAUUAGAGUUGUUUUCAAUCCAUAAUUUCAUUUGUGAAUUUUUCAUAUAUCUGCUAAACCAUAAGAAAGCUUUUUUUAUAGCUAGAAUUUUCACCCGAUUAGCAUCAUAAAAACCAAUGGACUUAGCAAAUCUUAUAACUACUUCCCCUUUAUAAUCUUGAAAAAUUCCACUAAUACUUGCCUGUCGUGGAUUCCCAAUUGAAACUUCAUGUCACAACCUAAAUCUAGGACAUGACCGGUGCAAAGGUAUUGAUGAGAAUUACCCUCUUAAUCCAUGCAAGCCUAGUAAUAAAUAAUUAAACCAAUAAUCAUAUGUGUCUCAUGGCAACCGUCACCAUGAAAUCAUAUGCAAAAUAGAUAUAAACAUGAAUAUUAUGUACAUCAAGUAUUAUAAAAUCAAUCUGCAUGCUUACGUGCUUAACAUGCAGAAGCAAAUAAGCAUAAUCUAAAGCAUUGACCAUCUUGUGGCGGAUACAUCUCAUAAGCCAACUUGUGGCAACAAACCAAAGUAUCAAUUAUUACAUGACAUAUACAAGGUCUAAAUUCACAACAAUCGGAAAUAUAAAGAAAGGCUCGACCAUAACAAACUCAACGGAGUACAGCUCUGAAUAGAAAGGCAGACGCCUAUUGGAUGCAAUGAUAAUCACCUACCAAAACUUACUGUAAAAGUAGCUCUCUCCAAAGGAUAACAAUCCAAGCAAUCUAUUGAUUUGAAACAACAUGUGUGAGUUAUAAACAACUCCGUGAGCACAUUCAAGGAUGGGGAACAAGCAAUGGGGAAGAGUAUUUAGAAAAAUACGCUUUCAAAAAUAUGCAAUUAGACGAUUAUCAAUAUUUUCAAAACUCGCCUUAUUAGGCAUAAUCAUAAACCGAGCCACAUUUACCCAAGUGUACUCACUUGAUAGUUCUGCUUAUCCAGCGUGUCAAAUAACCUUGUGGUCAACAACUCGCCCAAAUCCAUAGUUUCGAGUCUAUUAUCUUUUAAAUGACAUCAAUAAACAUAUGUUUACAAUCAAUCUAGGUCUAGGAUCUUUUAAUCAGAAAAAAGAUAUGUUAAAUGUCCUUUUAUAAAACAUAGUAUAUAAAAUGAUUCGUAAUUUUCAAAUAAUGUUUAAAGUUUGAAAUCCAACUUGAAAAGAUUGAUUAAAUUAUCAAUCUAAGAGCACUAAAAGCAUUAAUCAAUUCACCAAAGAUUUAGCUUUUUAAUCAAAUACAUUUCCAUUAGAAAAGCUUUUGAAAACAUUUUUAUUUUUCAAAAAUAAGCUUGAUCUAUCGAUUGAUCGUGCCUAUCUAUCGAUAGAUUUAUCGCAUCUAUCGAUGAAUAGAAGAUAGAUUACAAUUCUAAAGGUUUUGUGUUGUAUCUAUCAAUACUUCAUGAACAACAAUCGAUAGAUAGGCUAUAGAAAACAAAAAUUGAACUUGUAACUCAUAACUAGGACCUCAAACAAGUUUAUAACUCAACCAUAGACAAAUAAACAACAUUUAAACAUCAUGUAACAAUAGACAUGAUACAAUUCAUCAACUUAAUCAUGAGUUCAAAAUAACUUGGUCUAAAUCCAAACAUUAUACAUUCAAUCAAUCAAAAUGGAGCUCUAACCAAGGACAUCCAAACCACCUCGUGUUGUCACACUAAACCAAAUAGCUCGUUGCUCUUGGCCAACAACUAUUCAUAAAAAGGGGUAAUACUUCAUUAGUUACUAAUAUCCAGCGAGUCUCGAAAAUUUCUUAAGCAGCUCAAAUUGCCAUUCAUUGUGCACAUGGCUAGUGCCUCUUACCACUAGCUACAGGUCUUCAUGCCAAUAAGCUCUAACAAGCAUAAUACAACAAUUCAAUGUACGGUAUAUAAUCAAUCAUCAACAUCCAUAAAGGUUGAGGCAACAUAAAACCAUAAUCAAUCAACUACACAACAUUUUAUAAUGAAACGCUAUAAAUACCAUGGCAGCAUCAAAGAGAAAAACAUUUAUCAUGCAACUUUUAAAAUCCCUCCUUCAUACACCAAUCAUUCACAAAUGAGAAGUUGAGAUAUAAAUACAAUGGUAAGGCUUAUUCCCCAUUUUCAAAGACUAUAUAGUAGACUAUAUAUACUUAGUUUAUAGUUUUCAUCAAACAUACUUGAUAAGAUGUGUUCACCACACAAACGUUAUCAAAAUCCAUUUAUAUGUAUGGUUGUAGAAUAAGCAUGCUUAAUUAGAUCAAAUUAAUUAAAAAAGCUGCAUCCACCCACCUUAAUGAAGUGUGUCUGGCUUUUUUGAACCUUUCAUCGAACACUUGCUUUUCCAACAACUUCAAAUCUUCUUCACAAAACCUAACACAAUGUUUCUAACAUUAAUACUUAGUUUUCCUAGUCUAAAAACCAUUAAACCUUUCCACAAAAUUUUCUAGUAAUUCUUCAAUCCACAAAUCAACAACUAAUCCAACUCUAACUCAAGGAUUAUAAUCUAUUUUUAGCUAGAGUUAGAGCAACUUUACCUUGGUGAGUUUUAAGAGUUCCAACACCAAAUAAAACCUAGGUUUUUAGAACCAAAAACAAAUUUUUUAGUAUCCACAAUUUUCGAAAAUCAAAUCUUAAGUUUAGAAAGGUUAAAAAUCAGAAUUUUACUUUUUAAAGUUCUUAGAGUGAAGAAACAUGAUUGAAAAUCACUUAAAGCUUCAAAAUCCUUUAAUUUCGUGAAAAAUGGAGUUAAGAGCAAAAGAGGAUGAGGUCGCUGACUUUGAGUGAAAAACCUCAUUUUUGAGGGUUUUAGAGUUUUAAAAGGAACGUAAAAAGACCAAAAUACCCAUUUUUUAAAAUUUGGACAUAAUCUAUCGAUAGAUAAGGCCUAUUUAUUGAUAGAUAUAGGCAUCAACCGAUAGAUGUUCUUCAGUUUCCUUUACUGGUUUUGAUCUAUCGAUAGAUGAUGAACAUCUAUCGAUUGAUAUACUUCAUAACGUUAUUUUUUGUUAAAAAUAUACCUUUUUUAACUCCAAAAUAGACUUGUAUGCUCCACAUUAAAUUUGAGCCAUUCUUGUUGUGGUGCUAUCUAUUCAACCUGUAUCUUCUUUGACUUCACAAUCUAAGCAAAACUCACUAAAGUUAGACUUUUGAAUAUAUCAUCAACUCUAUCAUUCAACUUUGGCCAUUUGGCUUUACUCCAAAUAGUAACCCGAAGUUUAAUUUGACUAUGCAAUUGGUUUUGAUCCCAUAUUUUCCUAUUAAAAAUAAUGUCAUUAUUAAAUAACCAAAUAGACCAAGAAAUAGAAUAAGACCCAAGCAUCCAAAUUUGAAUCCUCUUUCUUUUAAUUUUUGUUGAACUCCAAGCUAAGAACAAUUUUUUUUGGACUACUCGGAGCAACCCAGCUAACCUCUUAAUCAUAAAACUACAUACUCCAUAACCUCUAAGUCUCCUCAUAAUUAAUAAAAAGAUGGCAAAGAGAUUUUUGGCAUUUUUUACACAACACACAAAUUAAUUGAUCUUUAUAAAUCAUUUUCUUUUUAUAAAUUCAGAUUUACUAGCAACUUUCUCCCACAUUAAUUGUCAAACAAAUAUUUUUACUUUAAAUGGAGCAUAUCCUAACCAAAUCUUCUUCCACAAUUCUUUUCUUUUAAAGUAGGAAUUACGAACAGAAAGAGAAAAAGAUUUCAUAGAAAACAUACUACUAGGAGUUGCUUUCCUUAUAAUUCCAUCUUUAAAACCAUCACAUAGCGUAUGCUCUUUCAAGUAGCUUUAUAAUUGAGUCCAUUGUGCAAACUCUCAUCCAAACAACUUAUUUCUUAAUUCUAUUUCCCAUUGCGACCUAGCAUUAGUCCACUGUCCAUAUUCACAUAAUCUACCAUCUUUAUUCACUGUUAAUGCAAAAAGCCUUGGAAACUCAUCUUUCAAAAUUAAAUCGUUCAUCCACUUAUCAUGCUAGAAUAAAACUGAAGUGCCAUCACUUACAACAACUCCCAAGUUAGCUCCAACCUGCCGAAAAAAUUUGUCAGUAGGCAUUAGAGGAGAAAUAUUGUUGUUCCAAAUGAUAACGAGUGACAGUAGUUUUAGGUAACAGGACACACGAAUUGUAGUCAUUCUUUGCAGCCACCACUUUUCUCCAUAGUUUAUCUUUCUCAUUACCAUACCUCUAUAACCAUUUAAUAAAAAGUCCUCUAUUCUAAAUUUCAAGAUUCACCCUACCCAAUCCCCAAUCCUCCUUUGAACAACAGACAUUGUCCCAUUUAAUGAAAUGCAUUCCUUUGUUAUUAUUCAACCCUUCCCAUAAAAUCUAUGUUGCAUUUUAUCAAAUCCCUUAAAUUGAGACAUAAAAAAAUGGGCAAGUUAUUAAAAAGAGACUUAAACAGGGUACUCUACCUCUUCUAGAUAAACAUUUGAAUUUUCAUCCCUCCAAUUUUUCCUCUACCUUUUGAAUCAAAGGUUUCCAAAUUUUUGCGGAAGAUAACUUAAUCCCCAAUGGUAAUCCCAAAUAAGUUGUAAAAAAGUUACCAAGCUUACAAUGUUUCUGACCAUCCCGAUUUUGCUCCAUUUUCAUUUAAUGUUCCAAUGCCAAACAAAAAGCUUUUGUGAAAAUUUAUUUUCAACCUAGUCAUUAGACGAAAACAUCUCAAAAGUCUCUUCAAAUUAAACAACUCCUCUAAAUUGGAUUUACAGAAAAGUAUUGUAUCAUCUGCAAACUGAAAAUGUGACAAAUUAGUUCCACAAUCAUCAAUAGACACCCCAUUGUAAAUUUGCACUUCUUUCGCUUUUUAACCAUCAUGCAACUGAAAACCUCUGUUACGAAAAUAGAUAGAAAAAAAGAGAAUUUUUCAUAAUAGAGGGAAGCCUUGUGUCAAACCCCUUUUUAAUUUAAUUGGUUUUGCCGGAGGACCAUUCACUAAGACGAAUAUGAAAGCUAUAGAUACACACUCCAUUAUCCAAUUGGACCAUCUCCUUCCAAACCCAAUUUUUCAUAAAGUGAAUUUCAAAAAAUCAUAGUUAACACUGUCAUAGGCCUUUUCAAAAUCAACUUUAAACUUCAAGCCACCCUGUCUAUUUUUAUUCAUAAAAUCAGCCAUCUCAUUUGCAAUUAAGAAGGAGUCAAGCAAUUGUCUACUAGGCAUGAAUGGAAAUUGAUGUUCUCCCACCACUUUUCCAAUCACCUUUCGCAAUCUAUUAGCCAACAAAUUAGCAAUAAUUUUUAAUACACAACCCAUUAAGUUGCCACUUAUCAUUUUUCAUUUACGUGAGGCUUACGUGUCAUAAUGGGUAAUGACGUAGCAUUCUGAUGUGGUAUGGUGACCUGACCAUAUGGCAUUUUCACCCUCUACGUCAAUGUUAUGUCAGUGCCAUUUGAAUAAAAAAAAGAAAAGUGACAUUUUGACUAAUGAUAAUUAACCAACUAUUAAUUAUAAAGAUUUAUUUGAUCCAAAAUUAAAGUAUAGAAACUUAAUGGAAUGUAAUAGAAGAAUGAAAACUUAUUUACAUUUUCUUAACUAGUUUAGGAGCUUUUUCAAGUAUUUUUUUAAUUAAAACAAAAAAGUCAUCAUAAAACUAGAAAAUUAUUGAAAAAUAAAUAAAAUAUUAAAAGAUAUAAAAAUUUUUCCUUGCCAAUGAACAAUGCUAGCUCCAUUCGCAAUAAGCCUAAAUUUCUUUAUAGACAUCGAAGCUUUCUUCUCCCAACUCAAAUUUGAUAUUAAUAGCUUAGUUGUGUCAUAUUGGUGAUUAAAAUAGAAAUUUAAACAAAUUUUAAGUAACAAAUAGUGUAGUUUGCUCUUAAUUUCUUAUACAAACAUGCACACACUAAAAAAUAGUAAAUCAUAUUCAAUGAAAAUUUUCAUUGGAAAUCUAUCAAAAAUGGGUAUUUUUGAUAGAUUUUCAACGAAAUCAAUCAUAGAAAGUUUUAUUGAAAAUAGGUCAGUCAAUAAUAUUAUUUCGUGGAAAUAAAAAAAAUUCGUCGAAAAUGCUUUAAAAUUCCCAAUGAAAUAAUCAUACAAAAAAGGCCCUUGAAUCCGUAGAAAAUGAAUAAAAUAAUAACUUAAUUAAUGAAUAAAAUAAUAGUAAUCAAUGAAUUUGAAAAAUAAAAAAGAAAAUAUUAUUACAUUAAUUUCUUUGGUUGCUUUAAACAGGAAUAGAGAGAAGAGCUUAAAUCAAAGAACUGAUCGGCUCGCUUAACACGGGAUUUGAUCGGCCCGAUUAAAACGUGGUUGGGUCCAGAGAAAGGCAAGUCCACCAUUUACCCAUAACCCAACACAAACCAAAUUAAUAUGGGUUCGGUUUUAUUUAAUUGGAUUUGGACCCAAUUGAACAAAUAAAAAAUCUAAUCCAAUAUAAAGGUAAUUCUUAUAAGGAAAGGUAUAUUAAUUUAUAUUAUAAUUGCAUAUAAAACUUAAUCUAAUUAUUAAUAAAAGAAAAGUUAUCCUUAGUAUAUUUGGAUAACAAAUAUUAUGAGAGCUAAAAAUAUUUUUUUGUUUACCUACUAUUGGAUUACUGAACGUAAUAUGUAAUAUGUUGAUAUUAACUAUACAUGUUAGAGUUUGUAAAAGAUAAAAAUUAACGUAUAUUAUAAGUUUAAUUGAGGUAAUUAUGUUAGAAUAUAAAUUUUGUUAAAUUAGGAUAAAUCAUAUAGAAAAAUAAUAUUUAUUGAAGUUGCUUCAGUCCGCAAAAAUCAAAUUUGGGAAAUAAUUUUUUUUUUAACGCAAAAUUCUUUCUGUUUUGUGUAUAUAUUUUCUGAUAAGCAGAUCAGUAAUCGCAACUAACCCUAUAGCAAGAACAGCUGCCGCAAUUGUACUGAGAAUUGUCACAGCAAUUCGUGUUCUCUUGUUACUUGACACUGGAUAAUUUGUUGUUGCAUUUUGAAGUCCUGGAUUUCCACUUGUAUUGACUGAAACAUGUUGACUGAACUUGGGAAUAACUCCGGAUAGCAGAUUAUUGGAAAGUAUUAGCUGUUUCAGUGAAGACAAACCAAGCAGGAAAUCAGGAAUUUCACCUGAGAAUUUGUUGUUAGAGAGAUCCAAAACUUCCAAACUAAACAGUCCAGAAAGAGUCUUUGGAAUGGGUCCUUCAAAGAGGUUCCAACUGAGAUUCAAAGAAAUCUGCAAAUUUAGUGGCAUAGAGGGAAUCUUGCUACUCAAUUUAUUUUCUCCAAGCUGGAUUUCUAGCAGAGAAUUCAAGUUGCUAAUUUGAUCAGGUAUAGGACCAGUGAGAUUGUUGCCUUGCAAGUUCAAGUUAACAAGAUUUCUAAAAUUUGAAAUUGACGAAGGUAUGAUGCCAUUGAGCGAAUUCCAGCUGAUAUUAAGUACGGAUAACAUUCGCAAUUGGCCAAUUUGACUUGGGAUUUCACCACCAACCUUGUUGAGUUGCAGUUUCAGAACCUGAAGGUUAGUAAGAUUAAACAGCUCCACCGGCAACGUUCCAUUCAGCUGAUUCUGAGCCAAGUUCAAGAGUGCCAACUUCGAGCAAGAACCGAUUUCUGGAGGUAUCAUUCCAGUAAAGCUGUUUGUUUCCAACUCCAAAUACAUCAAAUUCUUAAGUGAUGCAAAAUCUAUUGAAGAGAUAGGGCCACUGAGUGAAUUGCUACCCAAUCUUAACCUGAUCAAACUUGAAGACAUUCUUCCAGGUAUUGGUCCCUCCAACCUAUUAUAAGACAAAUCCACGGUCUGCAAGUUUGAUGGUGACAGAAAGUCCCAUGGAAUUCCCCCAAUUAAAUUAUUAUAACUAAGAUCUAAAAUACUGAGAAAUUUUGUGAUAUUACUAGGAAUUGAACCAACAAAUUUGUUUUGAUUGGCUGAAAACCUCCGCAGCGUUGUGAUACUUGAAAGGGUUGCAGGGAUCAACCCUGUCAACUGAUUGGAAGAGAGAAUGAGGACUUGCAACUUGGUGAGGUUCCCAAUACUUGCAGGAAUUUGUCCACUGAGGCUAUUAAAACUAAGAUCAAUCCGGACCAAAUUCUGAUAGAUUACAAUUUCAGUUGGUAUUGGACCUGUGAAGUUAUUCUUAGAAAGCACAAGAUGCAAUAUUUU
rnacentral:lncRNA from 1 species